rnacentral:rRNA from 1 species
AACGAACGCUGGCGGCAGGCUUAACACAUGCAAGUCGAACGCCCCGCAAGGGGAGUGGCAGACGGGUGAGUAACACGUGGGAACGUGCCUUUUGGUUCGGAACAACUCCGGGAAACUGGAGCUAAUACCGGAUAAGCCCUUCGGGGGAAAGAUUUAUCGCCAAAAGAUCGGCCCGCGUCUGAUUAGCUAGUUGGUGGGGUAAUGGCCCACCAAGGCGACGAUCAGUAGCUGGUCUGAGAGGAUGGCCAGCCACACUGGGACUGAGACACGGCCCAGACUCCUACGGGAGGCAGCAGUGGGGAAUAUUGGACAAUGGGCGCAAGCCUGAUCCAGCCAUGCCGCGUGAGUGAUGAAGGCCUUAGGGUUGUAAAGCUCUUUCGCCGAGGACGAUAAUGACGGUACUCGGAUAAGAAGCCCCGGCUAACUUCGUGCCAGCCGCCGCCGUAACAC